rnacentral:rRNA from 1 species
UGGGGAAUUUUGGACAAUGGGCGAAAGCCUGAUCCGGCAAUGCCGCGUGCAGGAAGAAGGCCUUCGGGUUGUAAACUGCUUUUGUACGGAACGAAAAGGCUCUUUCUAAUAAAGAGGGCCCAUGACGGUACCGUAAGAAUAAGCACCGGCUAACUACGUGCCAGCAGCCGCGGUAAGACGUAGGAUGCAAGCGUUGUCCGGAUUUAUUGGGCGUAAAGAGUUCGUAGGCUGUUUGUUAAGUCUGAUGUUAAAGACUGGGGCUCAACCUCGGAAAUGCAUUGGAUACUGGCAGACUGGAGUGCAGUAGAGGCUAGUGGAAUUCCCAGUGUAGCGGUGAAAUGCGUAGAUAUGUGGAGGAAUACCGAUGGCGAAGGCAGCCCCCUGGGCUAACACUGACGCUCAUGCACGAAAGCGUGGGGAGCAAACAGGAUUAGAUACCCGUGUAGUCCCUGAGCGGGCUGGCAAGGCGCAU